GCAUGUCUAAAUAAGUGCAGGAAAUCGUUCUGCAAACCAUAAUGUUAUGAUACAUUUUCUAUCAACAGCUGAAAACAUUUCUGGGUGGCUGUGCAAUGCCUGGAGCAGGACCAGGAUUAUGAUAUGAAGACCUGUUACCAAAAUCUUAAACUUCACCAGCCGUGUUGUUCACGCCAUUGCAGCACCCAGAUGUGGAUUUCGGCUAUACUUCCCAGUGAUCUGGUUAAUUCUGGACCCUUAGUGGACACCUUCAGAGUGGAAAAGGAAGCCUAGCGAUCACUCAUCCUGUUUAUUCUUGAGAAAUCUGUGCUGUUGCUGUUCGUUUUCCCCAGCACACGCAAUAUUUUUAACGUCAGUCUUGCCAAACUUCCAAAGGCAAGUUCACCUCCCCACAUGUGUAAAACAAGAACCCACUGGUUCAUGUUUCUGCCGAGUGGCAUUUAAGAGCAUAUGUCAAGUUGCCUGUCCAUUAUAGCUCC
rnacentral:lncRNA from 1 species